UAGACUUGACUGCGAUGGGGUGGGAG
rnacentral:piRNA from 1 species